rnacentral:rRNA from 1 species
GACGAACGCUGGCGGCGUGCUUAACACAUGCAAGUCGAACGGUGACCUCGAGAGCUUGCUCUUGGGUGAUCAGUGGCGAACGGGUGAGUAACACGUGAGUAACCUGCCCCAGACUCUGGAAUAACCCCGGGAAACCGGAGCUAAUACCGGAUACGAGACGGAGAGGCAUCUCUACCGUCUGGAAAGUUUUUCGGUCUGGGAUGGACUCGCGGCCUAUCAGCUUGUUGGUGAGGUAGUGGCUCACCAAGGCGACGACGGGUAGCCGGCCUGAGAGGGCGACCGGCCACACUGGGACUGAGACACGGCCCAGACUCCUACGGGAGGCAGCAGUGGGGAAUAUUGCACAAUGGGCGAAAGCCUGAUGCAGCGACGCCGCGUGAGGGAUGACGGCCUUCGGGUUGUAAACCUCUUUCAGCAGGGAAGAAGCGAAAGUGACGGUACCUGCAGAAGAAGCACCGGCUAACUACGUGCCAGCAGCCGCGGUAAUACGUAGGGUGCGAGCGUUGUCCGGAAUUAUUGGGCGUAAAGAGCUUGUAGGCGGUUUGUCGCGUCUGCUGUGAAAAUCCGGGGCUCAACCCCGGACUUGCAGUGGGUACGGGCAGACUAGAGUGUGGUAGGGGAGACUGGAAUUCCUGGUGUAGCGGUGAAAUGCGCAGAUAUCAGGAGGAACACCGAUGGCGAAGGCAGGUCUCUGGGCCACUACUGACGCUGAGAAGCGAAAGCAUGGGGAGCGAACAGGAUUAGAUACCCUGGUAGUCCAUGCCGUAAACGUUGGGAACUAGGUGUGGGUCUCAUUCCACGAGAUCCGUGCCGCAGCUAACGCAUUAAGUUCCCCGCCUGGGGAGUACGGCCGCAAGGCUA